rnacentral:rRNA from 1 species
UGGGGAAUAUUGCACAAUGGAGGAAACUCUGAUGCAGCAACGCCGCGUGGAGGAUGACACAUUUCGGUGCGUAAACUCCUUUUAUAUGGGAAGAUAAUGACGGUACCAUAUGAAUAAGCACCGGCUAACUCCGUGCCAGCAGCCGCGGUAAUACGGAGGGUGCAAGCGUUACUCGGAAUCACUGGGCGUAAAGCGCGCGCAGGCGGCCUUGUAAGUUGGAUGUGAAAGCCUACGGCUCAACCGUAGAACUGCAUCCAAAACUACUAGGCUAGAGUGUGGGAGAGGAAGAUGGAAUUAGUUGUGUAGGGGUAAAAUCCGUAGAGAUAACUAGGAAUACCAAAAGCGAAGGCAAUCUUCUGGAACACUACUGACGCUGAGGCGCGAAAGCGUGGGGAGCAAACAGG